CACCAGCAUUAAGAUCAACAAUAUGAACCAUCUUUUCACCUUCCAUAGCUUCAAUUAUAGCUUGAUUUGUAACCACAAAAGCAACCUUCAAAAACGGAAAGAACUCGAAAAACAUCUUCUUAACUAAAAUAUCUUCUGAGACAACCGAUAACUUAGUCGAACGCAAUGCCUUAUAAAUACCAGGCCAACUUCUAAGAAUCCUGUCAGCUAAUGCCUCAGUAAAAUAUGAAGCAAUUCUUUGCAUAGUAUCUCCAUUAGGAGAAGCAAGUUGAGAAAUAAAAAAGGAAAGAACUGGAAAAACAUCUUCCUAACUAGAAUAUCUUCUGAGAAAACCGAUAACUUAGUCGAACGCAAUGCCUUACAAAUACCAGACCAACUUCUAAGAAUCCUAUCAG
rnacentral:lncRNA from 1 species